CAUGCACUCGCAUUUGCGCAAGUAUUUGGGCAUGCAGAUCAUUGUGUGCGCACGGACCUUUUAAGCCUUGCAUCACAGUUCACAUGACUUGUAAACAAAUGAUAAACGUCAAAAUUUUUUACCGAACAAAAUAUAAUCUUUGCAAUGUAAAGUGAUUUGUUUAUAGUGUCGCGUAGAUUUAUAAACACAAUUCGAUCAUGAAAACCAGUGAUUUGUGUUUGAAAAAGGACAGUAAAUGUGCUGAAGUAAAUCGAAAUGCCAUAGUUUUCGAAAACAGUAAGCUAACCUAUGUGGGUCAAGACUGCUUGCGUAUUCCAUCUCCAUUGAUACAAGUGUAUGCACCAAGUGUGCAUUAUAUGGACCUUAGCUUCAACCAACUCUCAACUCUUCAGGGCCUUGAACAUUUCACCUUGUUGAAAGAACUGGUGUUGGACAACAACAAUUUAACAGAUACAUUGUGCCUGCCACGUUUGCAGCAUUUGCAUACACUUUCCCUCAAUAAGAAUAAUAUUGUCAACUUAGAGCUCCUGUUGAACAAAAUAUCAAAUAAUUUGUCAGCGUUACGGUACCUGAGCCUUUUGGGGAAUGUAGCAUGUCCAAAUCAGCUGUCAGACAUGGAAAAAGAUGAAGAGGACUACCAAAGAUACAGGUACUAUGUACUAUAUAGACUACCUAAUCUUCAGUUUCUUGAUUCAACAAAGGUAACAACUGAAGAGCGUUUGGAAGCUAGUCGCAGAGGUCAGUUGAUGAAGGUGGUCUGCCCCACAAAUGUGGAUACAUACUUUCUUCAAGUGCAAAACCCCUGUAUGCACGUACUGCAACUGUCGUCUGGAACCCACAGUGCUGCAACCCCCAUCUGUGCCUCGCCAUGCACAGGCUUCCUUCAUUCAUGAAUCGGACAAUAGUUCAGUUGCUUCAAUGACAGGAAGGUAGAGAUGACUCGCAUGCAACCUUCAAUUCCAAGUACACACCACUACCAGGUUCUAAGCGAAGUAUUGGAGAUCAUCAAGGUGCAUAUGGUAAAUGUCGGUAUCGCUACUCUGGGAAACACUCUGAAG
rnacentral:misc_RNA from 1 species